UUACUUGAAGAGAAGCAAAUGUGAAUUUGUGAAGUGCUUUCACCUCUUCAUUCAUUCCUUCAACAAAUACUUUUAAAGCACCUACUAUGUGCCAGGAACUAUGGAGUAUUAUAGAGACACAGAAGAAAGCAAGAAAAAUUGCUGACUCAGCUCUCAUGAGGAUGAGAAUCUAGGGGAAGAAAUAGACAGAAACUAAACCAAUAAUAAAAUGGCAAAUAUGAUAUAGAAUGAAAGAGCCCUGGGCAGAAGAGAGGGCAGAAGGAAUGAAACUGAGGGGCAGAGAGAUGGAAACUAACCCUGAUACUGAUCAUCUAUAAUCUGCCAAUCAUUUCAUGUACAUUAGUUUAUUUCAUAUUUCCAGAAAUUUCUUGUGGUGAGUAUUAUUAGGUAAAUUUUAAAGAUGAGAAAGUGGACAUUCAUCAAGGUUAAAGGAUUUGUCCAUGUAAAUUGUGCAGCCAGGAAUCUGAUCCAGUUCUGAGUGACUCCAAACCCAUUUCCCUUUCCAUUUGUUGAAAUUUAAAUUUAAGUGUUUUAAACCAACAAAUAAAAAUUGUGUGUGUAUAUA